rnacentral:snRNA from 1 species
AUACAUUUCUCAGCCUUUUAGCUAAGGUGUAAUAUUUGUGCUUAUUAGUUUAAUAUCUGAUAUGUGAACCAUAUGUUCACUCUGAUGUUAAAUUUAUUUUUUUAUUUUAUGGAUAUUAAAUAUAUUUGUGUGUCGUUGCAACGCACGGGCACUCACC